rnacentral:rRNA from 2 species
UACGGAGGAUGCGAGCGUUAUCCGGAUUUAUUGGGUUUAAAGGGUGCGUAGGUGGACUGUUAAGUCAGUGGUGAAAGUUUGUCGCUCAACGAUAAAAUUGCCGUUGAAACUGGUGGUCUUGAGUAUGGAUGAAGUAGGCGGAAUGCGUGGUGUAGCGGUGAAAUGCAUAGAGAUCACGCAGAACUCCGAUUGCGAAGGCAGCUUACUAAGGCAUAACUGACACUGAAGCACGAAAGCGUGGGUAUCAAACAGG